rnacentral:rRNA from 1 species
UUCGACAGGUUGCCAUGGGAUGAGCUUGAGUCCUAUCAGCUAGUUGGUAAGGUAAUGGCUUACCAAGGCGAAGACGGGUAGCUGGUCUUAGAGGACGACCAGCCACAUGGGGAUUGAGACACGGCCCCGACUCCUACGGGAGGCAGCAGUGGGGAAUAUUGGACAAUGCCCGAAAGGGUGAUCCAACGACGCCGCGUGGGUGAUGAAGGCCUUCGGGUCGUAAAACCAUGUCAAGUGGGAAGAAUAUCGCUUAUGCGAUUGACGGUACUACUAAAGGAAGCCCCGGCUAAUUCCGUGCCAGCAGCCGCGGUAAUACGGAAGGGGCAAGCGUUACCCGGAUUUACUGGGUGUAAAGGGUCCGCAGGCGGUUGGGUGUGUCAGUUUUGAAAUACUCUGGCUCAACCAGAGAAUAGGAACUGAAACUACCCGACUUUGAGUCUAGAUGGGGGAAAUGGAACUGCCGGUGUAGCGGUGGAAUGCGUAGAUAUCGGCAGGAACACCAGUGGCGAAGGCGACUUACUGGGCCGGGACUGACGCUGAUGCACGAAAGCGUGGGGAGCAAACAGGAUUAGAUACCCUGGUAGUCCACGCCGUAAACGAUGAGCACUAAGUGUCGGAGUAAAAUUCGGUGCUGCAGUUAACACAGUAAGUGCUCCGCCUGGGGAGUACGGUCGCAAGACUGAAACUCAAAGGAAUUGACGGGGACUCGCACAAGCGGUGGAGCAUGCGGUUUAAUUCGAUGCAACGCGAAGAACCUUACCAGGUCUUGACAUACUGUUGCUGGGGUUAGAGAUAAUCCGUUUCUUCGGAACAACAGAUACAGGUGGUGCAUGGUUGUCGUCAGCUCGUGUCGUGAGAUGUUGGGUUAAGUCCCGCAACGAGCGCAACCCUUAUCAUUAGUUGCUAACAGUAAGAUGAGCACUCUAAUGAGACCGCCGGCGCAAGCCGGAUGAAGGUGGGGAUGACGUCAAAUCAUCAUGCCCCUUAUGACCUGGGCUACACGCGUGCUACAAUGGCUAGUACAAAGAGUUGCGAAGCCGCGAGGUGGAGCUAAUCUCACAAAGCUAGUCUCAGUUCGGAUUGUAGUCUGCAACUCGACUACAUGAAGUCGGAAUCGCUAGUAAUCGCGCAACAUCAUGGCGCGGUGAAUACGUUCCCGGGCCU